rnacentral:lncRNA from 1 species
CGGGUAUACGGGUCGACCAAUUUUGGUGCCCGUCCCCCCUCUCCUGCUCGACAGUCAGGAACACUCUUGGGUCCCGAGAGUUGAGCGUCGAGGCUAUUCCCCGGGGCUCAGGAGCAACCCAAUCCAAUGCAGGAUCGGUUAUACAGUCAACCAGAGCAUGCUUCUCCACAACAUGCGUCUCCACGACCUCCUCGGCUUCUGACAUUUUUACAACCUGAAAUGCAGCAAAAACAAAGUGAAUUCGACGAACAAAUCCACCCUUUCACUGCAAUUCAAGUGAAAGGGCGCAGGAUAGGACGAGGACGCUGCCCUCGACCAAAAGCCCUUUUCAAAUGGCAAAUCAAAAAUAACCGAGGAGGGUGACUUAAAUAGAGCCGGGGAGAUAAGCUCCCCGGCCCGAGAUUCAAACAAUUAAUUCCUAAGGGAAAGACGAGGAGAUAACCUCCCCGGUACGAGAUUCAAACAACGAAUUUCAUGGAGAAAUUUUCUAAGUUAAAAAGGGAGGAAAUAUCCUCCCCGGCCACAAAAUCAAUUGACUAAAGUUUCAAACGGGGAGAUAGACUCCCCGGUACUAGCAAACAAACUGUCUAAAAAUUGAGACGAGGAGAUAGGCUCCCCGUCACUAGUCAUCUAACUUAAAGUUUCAAAGGGGACUAACUCCCCGGCUCUAAAUUUAAAUGGUGCCCGGCUCUAAAUACAUAUAGUGCCCGGCACAUUCAUACAUUC